UCAGAAUAUAGUGUAAUGGUAACAUAUCUAUUUUGGAGAUAGAAGAAUAUAGGUUCAAAUCCUAUUUUUCUGAA
rnacentral:tRNA from 1 species